rnacentral:rRNA from 1 species
UACAGAGACUGCAAGCGGUAUUCGGAUUCACUGGGCGUAAAGGGUGCGCAGGUGGCCAAGUGUGUUAGGCGUGAAAGCCCGGGGCUUAACCCCGGAAUUGCACCUAAAACUACUUGGCUAGAGCAUUGGAGAGGGGAGCAGAAUUCACGGUGUAGCAGUGAAAUGCGUAGAUAUCGUGAGGAAUACCAGAGGCGAAGGCGGCUCCCUGGACAAUUGCUGACACUCAGGCACGAAAGCGUGGGGAGCAAAAGGG